rnacentral:rRNA from 1 species
CAGCAGCCGCGGUAAUACGUAGGUGGCAAGCGUUGUCCGGAAUUAUUGGGCGUAAAGCGCGCGCAGGUGGUUUAAUAAGUCUGAUGUGAAAGCCCACGGCUCAACCGUGGAGGGUCAUUGGAAACUGGGAAACUUGAGUGCAGAAGAGGAGAGUGGAAUUCCACGUGUAGCGGUGAAAUGCGUAGAGAUGUGGAGGAACACCAGUGGCGAAGGCGACUCUCUGGCCUGUAACUGACGCUGAGGAGCGAAAGCGUGGGGAGCGAACAGGAUUAGAUACCCCGGUAGUCCCUGUCUCUUAUAC